GUAAAUCUGGCAGUGUACCGUUAUUAAUAAGCAAAAGGAUGAGUUGAUCAUUGUAACUUUAUCUCAGGUUUUGGGUAAUGGUUACAAAUCAUUUGAGUGCGCCCAUUACAAUUCAUCAUAUCAUCAAGACACAUUGAUAACUGUUCUGUCACGACUGUCAUAUAAUUUCUUUUUUAAAAUCACUAACAAGAGAAUUGCUUUUCUUUUCCAUUUAACCAGGGAUCUGCAGAUACCAUUCUCAAAUCAGCCCUCCUUAAAAUAGCUGAAAUCAUCAGACUGAAAGAUGUGGAUGCAAUUGUGGUUGAAGUAGCUGCACUCUUUCGAGAUUUCCCAGAUAUUGGAAAAGAACAUGUUAGAGCCAUCUUGCACAUGAAAGUCAGCGUGAAAAAAUCAGAUGAAAAGAAGAUUCUGAACAUUCUCAACACACCAAUGAGUAACUCCGACUCUUCCAUGAUGAGGAAACUCUUUUCCAAUCCUACCUUACUUAAGGCUCUCUAGAAAUCAUCUGGUAACCAUCAAAAGAAUGAUUUAUUUUCGUAAACAAACACAUCAAUGUUGGAUAUAGCGCAGUUGUCAUGUCACACUUAUAUAAUAGAACUUUUCCUGUUCUGACACACCCACCAGCCUGUGGUUGAUUGCCUAAUUAGAAACGUAAGUACUUGCAUUUUAUGGAGCACCUAUCAUGUCCUUAGCAGAUCUGAAAUAACUUUACUACUUUAGGGAUUUCUCAUUACAUUGUCAUUGAACAUUCCGGGUCUUAUAUGUGUUAAAAUGCAAAUGUCAGAAUGAAUUUAUCUCUAACUUACAGUUGCACAUUAGAAUUAGGGAUAGCGUGCUGUAGACAAGGUGAGAUAUAUUGACAUUCUACUGUUAGUUUGGAUUCUGCUGCUGCUUUGACACCAUUAUUCAUUAAAACAAAGUGGCAGCAAUGGUGCGUAUCAUUACCAAAUCAUGUUGACUGAUUCUGCUCUUGAGUAGUUGGAGGAGCAGUGGACGAGAAAUAGUCUGUCUGACUAAUAAUAGACAGGAGAGACAGGCUGACAUGAAACAGAACAAGUGCUAUAAUAUGAGGUCCUGAUUGGGUCUGAAAGCCACACUGGUUCAAAUUCAAGACAACGUUUGUACAGAAGGAAAAAUCAUUCUGAAAUGUCAGGAAUAUAGUCCACUCAAAGCUUCUUUGUAAAUUUUUUAUUUACAUUUUCAUAAGACGUGCUUAUUCCUGACAAGGCCAAUGUUUGUUGCCCAUUCCUAAUUGCCUUUGAACUGAAUCACUUGCCAUGCCAUUUCAGAGGGAAGUUAAUAGUCAACAAUCUUGCCAGGGGUCUGAACUGACUGCUGGUCAGACUUAGUAAGGAUGGUAGAUUUCCACCCCUGACGGCUGAUAAACAAGAUGGGUUUCUCCAACCAUCUGGUAGAUUCAUGAUUACAAUAAGUAAGACUAGUGUUUUUAUGUCAGGUUUUUUAAUUAAUUAAAUGAGGUUAAACACUCGCAACUUCCAUGAUAAGUUUUGAAGUUUGUAUUUUCUUUUCUUAUAGUGUGUAAGGCUGAGUGGGAUGAGAGAAUUAUGCUUAUAGCCAUGGUCACUUGCUCUGUAACAAAGAAGCAUCAUGAUUCCCAUCUGAUAAUUGAUUUUGCAAUGGCUGUGGUUAUUGUGAUCUCAUGGACCUGAGCAUAAAAACAAUUAUCAGAUUAUUCUUUGAAAUUGAGUCUUUGUUGUUAGAUCAUAGAAUCCCUAUAGUAUAGAAGCAAGCCAUUCAGCCCAUCAAGUCCAUACUGAUCCUCUGAAAAGCACCCACCCAGACCAGCCCUCCUACCAUAUCCCUGUAAUUCUGCAUUUCCCAUGGCUAAUCCAGCUAGCCUACACAUCCCUGGACACUACGGACAAUUUAGUGUGGCAAUUCACCUCAGCUGCAUAUCUUUGGGCUGUGGGAUGAAACCCACAGAUACAGGGUGAAUGUGCAAACUCCACACAGACACUCGUCCGAAGCUGGCAUCAAACUCAGGUCCCCAGUGCUGUGAGGCAGCAGCGCUAACCACUGAGCCACUGUGCCACCCAUAAGUAAACAUAGCAGUCUAUUUGAAAUUUAAAAGUGCCAGUUGAGAAUAAUGUUGGACAGUGUGUCCUUGCCCACUGGGAUGAGAUUUUAAACUGCAUGCAACUUUUACAGUGAAAGUUUUGAGCCUAGUAGAUGAAUGUGAUUGUUUCCACCAUUAUACCAUAUACUCCAUAGUUAUACAAAAAAUGUCAGGUUAUUUUUGACUCUAUAAUGAUACUGAUGCACCUUGUGGCUUAUUUCAACUCUCACAAUUUCAGCAUUGACAGAGAAUUCUGUUACAAAAAUCUGGACUUCUUUUAAAGGUUUUUUUUGAUGUAACAUGAGGUGGAAUAUUUACAAAGAAGUAAAUAUUUAUCAGUCAAUUACUGGUAGACUUUAUGUAGUCUUGUUCAACUGGAUCAUAGAUUAAACAUUUUGACAUGAUCGGCAUGUAAAUAAGACUGGAACCACAAGACAAAGUAUUUUAAAUACAAACAAUUUUCACAAUUUGGAUUAUGAAGUUUAUAAUUUUCUAGGUCAAUUGUCACAGAUCACCAGGUGACACAUCUUAGUAGGUGAGGUACAAUUAUUGAGUGUCUUGUGACAUGAUAAUAAGACAGCAAUAGCUGUAUUUUUUUUAAAAUACUGAUUAUGUUUGGAGCUAAUGAGCUUCUUUGAAAACAAUAACUUAGAAAUAACUAUUGAUAGUACCAGAGAGUGAACUGUCAACAAUUCUGCUAUACUGUAUUGUAGCAAAAUUUAAAUGGUUUAAUAACCACAGUAAACAGUAGGAAGGGAAAAGCCAGGUGACCGUCAUAAAUAUUUGCUGAUACUGUGAACAGUUAUUUUGGGCUACUGUAUUUAAAUUGUUGGUAUUUUGCCACCUGUGACAGCAUUAAAUAAUACCUGUGUUAUAAUUAAUGUUACUUUUCUUCAACUGUCCUUCAGGUAAAGUAUAUAAAUACAGCUACAUAAAUGUUUCUGCACAGAGUUUUAAAGAAGUAAAAAAUGUUUGUGUAGUUUCCAAAUAUACCCAGAAGUGAAGUAUGCAUGUACUGUACUUAAAAUUUCCAAUAUAAACAACAAUUGCUAUGUCAGAUGCAAAAUCUAAUUUUGCAAGCUUGUGUUCUAACAUUACUUAUACAGUAUUAAAAAUCUUUGUUUUUGUUUUUUUUCUAAUGCAUAUGUAAAAUAAUGUGUCAUUUAAACAAUUUUCUGCAAUAUAUUCUUUGUUGGAAGCAUAUUGGAAGGUUUGAUCACAUAGUCACUGGCUGUAUUCUGGUGCUUCAACAAUAAAUAAAAUGUGAUAGUUAUUCAA